GCCCAAACUCAGAGAACCCUAUCGGUCAUUACCCUAGUUGCGCCGCAAGAACAUCGUGGGUAGGGUGAGUGUCGCGUGGUGUGGUCGGUGUGCGUCAUGGGCAACACGGUGCGUCCGGCGGAUGAUCACUGCGGAUCAUUCGGGCUAGCUGUGCAGUCAUCGUCGGCGAGCCGAACUGUGGUCUAGGGCGAUCGCAUGGAGAGAGUGAAGAACGCCACGAGUCUAUGCCUCACCGUGUCCUGCGUUCGGUAGUCGGCAGGCUCGGCAUUAACGGUGAAGAGCAGGUGGUUCAAGAGGUGCCCUACAAUAAGGAGUACGAGUUGAUCUAGGUGGCGUCUCUCAAUCAGCUUGAUGGCGCCAAGGAAUAAUAUUUAAUUCGUUUUAUUAUUAUCAUUUAUUUUUGUAAGACUUCCACUAUGUAAUAAUGAUAUUUGUGUCAUUUAUCUCUAU
rnacentral:lncRNA from 7 species